rnacentral:lncRNA from 12 species
GACCAUCUGCUUCCAGACCAUGGUUGAUGGUAGUUGACUACAAGAAUUGAAACCCCAGAAAACAAGACUGCAGAUAAGGGGCUGAUUAUAAUAUAAUGGUCCACCAUCCCAACCUGUGGGGAACUAUGCUGUUUUUAGCACUGAAAUUCCCACAUCCUGGGAAAUCUCUCAGUCCAGUUCAUCUGUGAAUGUCUCUUGGGAUUCCCUUUGGAAUGGUGACCUUUGGUGAUCAUGGACAACCAUACUAUUCUCAGCAAGAUACUAUCCUACUGCCUGAAGAAGUCAGUGAGGGAGUGCCUUCGGGGAGAAAAUUUAUCUGCUUUUCUUCCACCAUCAACUUCAUAAAGUUCACCUUAGCAAGGUUUGUUAAUCCUAGGAAACAUUUUCAUUAUCUUAGGCCUUAAGCUUAAAAGUACAAUUGAGAAUCUUUCACAACAGUCACAUAAUUUUCCACUGACUGAUUGCUUUCUGCUCUCAAAGAAUAAUCAUUUGUUAUUUUAUGAUAUCAUGGUGAGUAAACACCAUCUUAAGGCUGCUUUUUUUCAUA